GCCCUCAGGAGGUAGAUCUUACUAAGCUCAUCUCACAAACAAGAGCACUAAAGCUCCUGGGGGCUUUGUGACUUGGGGGGAGGGGCGUGGAUCACAAAGCUGGGGCUUGGUUCUAACUCAGAUGUGUCUGGCUGCAAAGCCCCAAAUUGGGUGUUCCUGAUGUGGUGCAAUGGCAUCAGCAGCAUCUUGGGAGCAGUGGAAUGCAAGUUCUAUCCCCAGAUGCUCCCCUAUAAUACAGUUGGCACCGACAGCACAGAGGAAAAGAGAGAAGGAGGUGAGAAAAUCCUCCAGACACUGCUUCCUAACAACCCACUGGGAUGCAUACAGCUGGUCUACCUGCAUUCUUUCUCCUUUGGAGGCUCUGCAAUCCCCCAUCUAAGACUUCUCCCUGUAACGACUGCUAAGGAUUUAUGAUUCAAGAGCACGGCCAGGAACAGCACUGCAAACAGCCCAGAGGUCACAUCAUUUCAUGGCCUCUAAGACAGGGGGCGGGGACUUUCUCUUCACACCAAAGAUUCCCAGGACUUUGCUGUGUGUAGAAACCAUUACUGUCACCAAAGCAGGCCUCCCUCCCGCCUCUCUACACGCACACAGCACAGACUACGGCUACUGCUUUACAACUGCUCUGCACCAGCUGCUUGGCCCUAAAUGAGAUCCUUGGUAGAACCGGUGCUGUGAAAGAGUUUGCUUUCAGCUUAAAGCAACAGUUCUUCCUCUUUCUGCAUCUCUCCCCAUUUUCCUUCCUCCGGUUCACGUGAGGUUAAAAAACAUUCUAAAUAAGUCUUCCCACAAUUUCCCCGCCAGCCUCUUGUCUUAUCUUUUCAUUUGUAACAGAACCUCGGAUGGGCACAGAUGAAGUCACCCCUCCUCCUGUCCCCACCCACAUAACACUAGCGCUCAGCUCCUGGGAGUCCCUCAGACCAGCUGGGACACCAUGUCCCCACCACAAUCAGCCUCCCAGGGCCAGUGGCCUGGGAGUUUACCUUCAUCAAGAACACCAGGGGCUCCCAUUGUGGCUCAGCAG
rnacentral:lncRNA from 1 species